AUACCUUUCUCGGCCUUUUGGCUAAGAUCAAGUGUAGUAUCUGUUCUUAUCAGUUUAAUAUCUGAUAUGUGGGUCAUUGACCCACACGAUAUUAAAUUACUUUUUUAGAGGGGAGAUUUCACUACAAUAGCUUGCUAUUGGAUUUCUCAUGUGUCGCCCAUGUUUUGCACUAUUGCAUUGGCUGGCCCACCCUAC
rfam:Lupinus angustifolius cultivar Tanjil contig_32188, whole genome shotgun sequence.